GAAAGCAGGGUAAACAAAAAAAGAAUAAUCGCAAAAAGAAGGAUAAGGGAAGGGAUGGAAAAACUUGUAUAAUUGAGCAAGAGAAGGCUGAACGAGAUGGGUGUAUUCUAGAUGGAAAUGAUUACGAGACUGAGGAGCCAGAGGCAGCGCUGGAGAAACCAGAUAUGCUGGAAAAUGAAAUUAGCUUCUGUGGGUUAAGUGGCCUUUCCGCUGCACAGAAUGGUAUUUCAGGGAGAAGUCCUCCUGUUAUCGAUGAUAGUUCGUCAACGUGUUCUACAGAUUCAGUUCCUUCAGUCGCUAUGAAUGCGCCUUACAGAGGGACUUCUUUGAACCAUAAAAACCAGAAAUCACCUAGCAGAAGCAA
rnacentral:misc_RNA from 1 species